GCGGGACCGACUGGAGGCGGCGGCUCCGCUACAAGCGCGUGGGUGCAGGUAUGAGUCUGUUUCUGUGAAGGAAGAUGCAGCCGCCGGGAGGGGCACCCACCGUCAUGAAGGCUUGCAGGAACUGCGAGGGGCUGCUUGCCGCUCAGCCUUUGCGGUGAUUUAUAGGAGCCAGGGGCUGCUGGAGAGGGAUGCGGAUGUUAUCAGCUCGGUGGAUUAAAUGCCCAUUUACAUUGUUAUUGACAUAUAAAUUAUCCAUGCCAAGGAGACAGAGAGCAAAAGGAUUUCCAGGGCAGUAAUGUGGCACAUGCCCCAGGAUAUGGGGCCCUUCUUUACCUAAAGCUGUCCUUUGGGCUCUCAUGAAGUGAAUCUCAGACUGGCAGUAAAAAACCCGAAGUCCCCGUUCUCACGAUGACAAGGGCAGCUGCCCUCAUUGCUACUGCACUGGUGGCGAGUGAGACUCCCGAGUGGCUUCCAAGAAGACAGCAAGACCUUUGAAGAGGUGGCGCUGAUUUCCUUGGCUGGCAGAUGUGCAUGCAUCACUUUGGCCCAGGUUAUUUGGUUCUUCCGUGGAUCUGGAUACAGCACUGAAGAAGAGUGGGGAUUUUAUGCCUGGGAAAUGGAAUCGAUUUGUGAGUCGAGCCAACAGCAGAAAAGAAAGCCGGUUACCCAUGGACUGGAAGAUCAAAAGAGAGGAUAAAGGGACUGUUAAAUGGGACUGGAAAAGCAGAGGCUGUUUUGCA
rnacentral:lncRNA from 1 species